rnacentral:rRNA from 1 species
CAGCACGCGGUAAUACGUAGGUGGCAAGCGUUGUCCGGAAUUAUUGGGCGUAAAGGGCUCGCAGGCGGUUUCUUAAGUCUGAUGUGAAAGCCCCCGGCUCAACCGGGGAGGGUCAUUGGAAACUGGGAAACUUGAGUGCAGAAGAGGAGAGUGGAAUUCCACGUGUAGCGGUGAAAUGCGUAGAGAUGUGGAGGAACACCAGUGGCGAAGGCGACUCUCUGGUCUGUAACUGACGCUGAGGAGCGAAAGCGUGGGGAGCGAACAGGAUUAGAUACCCCCGUAGUCCAUGUCUCUUAUACAC